UACAGAGGUCUCAAGCGUUGUUCGGAUUCAUUGGGCGUAAAGGGUGUGUAGGUGGCGCCGUAAGUCGGGUGUGAAAUUUCGGAGCUUAACUCCGAAACUGCAUUCGAUACUGCGGUGCUUGAGGACUGGAGAGGAGACUGGAAUUCAUGGUGUAGCAGUGAAAUGCGUAGAGAUCAUGAGGAAGACCAGUGGCGAAGGCGGGUCUCUGGACAGUUCCUGACGCUGAGGCACGAAGGCCAGGGGAGCAAAACGGG
rnacentral:rRNA from 1 species